rnacentral:piRNA from 1 species
UACACAUUUAUUUAGAACAAG